rnacentral:rRNA from 1 species
AUGAUACCUUGUCCGAAGUCGGCCCUGCAUGCCGCCCACGUGGGCUGCCUCACCGUCCACACGGCCAAGAUAGCACACCAGCACCAACCCGACGUCACCCGUCGCGAAAGCACCGCCAAGCCCACCAUCCGGAGCCCCGCUCUGGCAUCCAGGAGGCCAACCUUGCCCGCCUAUAUCAGAGAGACGAGCCGUCGAUGCGUUGCCAGCCACCCUCGCUGUCGCACUAACGCUCUUCCACAGCGUAUAGUCCCACCAUUGCCAACCACCACCAGCACGAAGACGAAAUCCAUACAACUCAGAUCCACAUGA